rnacentral:tRNA from 1 species
CAAAGUGUAGCUUAAAAACAAAGCACCUGGCUUACACCCAGAAGAUUUCAUAGUAAAUGACCACUUUGA